rnacentral:rRNA from 1 species
GAUCAUGGCUCAGGAUGAACGCUAGCGACAGGCUUAACACAUGCAAGUCGAGGGGCUAGCACAGGGUAGCAAUACUUGGGUGGCGAUCGGCGCACGGGUGAGUAACGCGUAUGCAACUUACCUAUCAGAGGGGGAUAGCCCGGCGAAAGUCGGAUUAAUACCCCAUGAAACAGGGGUCCCGCAUGGGAAUAUUUGUUAAAGAUUCAUACGCUGAUAGAUAGGCAUGCGUUCCA